UACGUAGGGUGCAAGCGUUGUCCGGAAUUAUUGGGCGUAAAGAGCUCGUAGGCGGUCUGUCGCGUCUGCUGUGAAAACUCGGGGCUUAACCCCGAGCCUGCAGUGGAUACGGGCAGACUAGAGGUAGGUAGGGGAGAAUGGAAUUCCCGGUGUAGCGGUGAAAUGCGCAGAUAUCGGGAGGAACACCGGUGGCGAAGGCGGUUCUCUGGGCCUUACCUGACGCUGAGGAGCGAAAGCGUGGGGAGCGAACAGG
rnacentral:rRNA from 1 species